AACGCGAAGAACCUUACCCAGGUUUGAAAUACAGAGGACAGCUCCGGAAACGGAGUCUCCCGCAAGGGUCUUUGUACAGGUGCUGCAUGGCUGUCGUCAGCUCGUGCCGUGAGGUGUUGGGUUAAGUCCCGCAACGAGCGCAACCCUUAUCAUUAGUUGCCAACACGCGAGGUGGGAACUCUAAUGAGACUGCCCGGGUUAACCGGGAGGAAGGUGAGGAUGACGUCAAGUCCGCAUGGCCUUUAUAUCUGGGGCUACACACGUUCUACAAUGGUCGGUACAGAAGGCAGCAAGACCGCAAGGUGGAGCAAAUCCGUAAAACCGAUCUCAGUUCGGAUUGUAGUCUGCAACUCGGCUACAUGAAGUUGGAAUUGCUAGUAAUGACGUGUCAGCAAUAACGUCGUGAAUACGUUCCCGGGCCUUGUA
rnacentral:rRNA from 1 species